rnacentral:tRNA from 1 species
GCCCCCAUGGUCAAGCGGUUAAGACUCCGCCCUCUCACGGCGGCAACAGGGGUUCGAGUCCCCUUGGGGGUGCCA